UACGGAGGGGGCUAGCGUUGUUCGGAUUUACUGGGCGUAAAGGGCGCGUAGGCGGCGCGGUAAGUCACUUGUGAAAUCUCUGAGCUUAACUCAGAACGGCCAAGUGAUACUGCAGUGCUAGAGUGCAGAAGGGGCAAUCGGAAUUCUUGGUGUAGCGGUGAAAUGCGUAGAUAUCAAGAGGAACACCUGAGGUGAAGACGGGUUGCUAGGCUGACACUGACGCUGAGGCGCGAAAGCCAGGGGAGCAAACGGG
rnacentral:rRNA from 1 species